AGGGGCAGCAACUGCAAAUCCUUCCCAGCUGGUGGCUCCGUCACUGCUUUGUGAGUUUAGGAGUCCCCAGAGCACAGGGAUUCAGGGGCCAAGAGGCACUGGUGCAGAUUUUAGGCUGGAGGGGACCUGGUGGUAGCAUCCCACCUGCUGUCUGGGGGUGUCACCUGCCUUGGGGCUGUUUCGGGCUAAACGUGAUUCUAAUCUGGAUUAUUUUAAUGAGCUUCCUUAUGUGAACAACAACAGGCUCUGCUUCCUGGCCUGCCACCUGCAUCAUGCCUGGCCUCUUCAGCUGUGGAACAGGAAGAAAAGGAAUUCCUGGACUCCAUCCUCACUGCAGAAGCCUUGAGAGAACAGUGCCUGGAAGCUGGCAGUCUGCAGGCUCAGCACCUGGAACAGCCAUAGGUGCUGGCAAGGUGUUUGAAAGCCCACUCUACAUGGCUGAUCCAAAGGAACUGGCUGCCUCCUAACAGCCUUUGAGUAAAUUCAACAUUGCACUGGAACCCAAUUAAUCAUUCUCAUUACCACAAGCCUACUCCCAGCUUCAUAGAAAUGAAUAUGUAUGCAAUAAUUAUUGCAACUGCAGGCUCACAAGCACUUUUUUUGGUAGUGAAAAGUAAUCAAAUUUCUAUUACAUGAACCUAUGAACCAAUUCCAAAUGUCUGGAGUGACUUAGUUCCAAUGCAGAACAAGACACUUAUAUUAGGAUUAAACAAAUAGUCCCCAAAUUCAAAUAUAAGAACUAUAAAAUACAUGAUCAUCAAAGUAGAAAUACCUACAUGGA